CAGUGCUAUCUCCUUCAUCACACUGGGUGUGAUGAAGGAGAUAGCACUGUGC
ensembl:miRNA